AAGGUCGGGGGUGGGGCGGUUACAAACGCAAGGCUCCCACCGCUCAACCGGCCAACUCGGUGCCCCUUCCAUUCGCGUGGAGUGUGUCCCAGACACCCCCGCAUCCCGGGGAUUUCCCGCUCUACCUGCGUGAGAGCGCCUCCCACUUCAGGUGUAAGGAGAGAGGGGGUGGAGGAGACCGCCGACUGCAAGAGGAGUGGCUCCGUCAGGUGAGUGGAGGGGACGUGGGAGGCGGUUGGGGACAGCAAUGAACUCCCAUGGUGGAGUGCUGGGAGAGAGGCCAAAGUUGAGCAAAUGGGAAUUGUAACUCAACAAACAUUCCCCGACUACCAGAGACAGGGGCGGCGGGGCGGCGAACGGGAAAGCAGGGUAGGGGCCGCCGCGGUGGCCCCGGCAGCGUGCGCUCUGGAGAGAAUUAGCAUCCCUGCGUUACGCACCAGGAACAGUUCAGAGGGAUGUCUCUUAGAGAAGAGGAGAUGCCAAAUAAAAAGUAUUGAGUGUGAAGAAUUUCUACAAGGACAAGGGAAAUUUGAUACCCAGGAAGAACACCAUGUGACUACUGAGGCAGAGAUUAGAGUUAUUCUGCCUCAAGCUGAAGGAUGCCGAGGAUUGCCGAUAACCAGCAGAAGCCAGGAGAAAGUAUUUGGUAACCAAACUGAUGGAUUUGAAGGAAUUCGGAGUUUUCUGAAGAAAGAGGCUUCAUCAAGAUGUCUUGUCUGGCUCUCCAAGAGGACACGGAGCAGAUGGACCUGAGCUGGAACACUUCACUCUCCGGCGUGCUUGCGCGGAUGCGCACAGGCGUGAGGCCGGACUCUGUCCGCGGGCCUGACUCCCCUGGUAACCACCAGCCUACUCUCUGUAGCCAUGAGUUCGGCUUUUUCAGAUUCCACGUAUGUGACUUCGGUUCUCAGUGGUGGCUCCAUCUCUGGGUACCAGUGUACAUUUCAGGCAGGAAGAAGGGGGAUGUGAAGAGCCAAAGCCUGUAUUGGUUGAAUCUGUCUCCAUCAGGGCAGCGCCACUCGAUGACAUCUGCCUUCAUUCGUGUAUCAGAACAGCCACCCCCACUUUAUCAAGGUCUGGAAAAUGAGUGUUCUAAUUGGAAAUACCACAAAACUGAACAGAAUCAUGGUUCUGUUUUAAGGAAGAAAGGGAGCAGAGAUACUAUGUAGGAAAUAGCAGUGCCUUCAGAGGAUGCUAUUAAUAUCCUCAUUUUACAGAUGAGGAAACUGAUGCUGAGAGGUUAGCAAAGUCAGAGCCUAAUGGAGAUGAGAUUUGAACCAGCUGCCUGGCUCUGGCCUCUGUGCACUUUAUCACAACAGCAGAAGCCACCUGCUCUGAGCACUGGGCCCCUGCAUAACAUGAGUAGUGACAUGCCACUAAACAGAUACGAGAAGAAUAUUGUAGCUUCUUUUUUUGCAAGAUCAAUAGAUAUUGUUCUUCCAGUGAUUUCCUUCCGGUAGGGGCUGUAUAUGCUAAUAUGCUAAUAAAUUGAUCCCAGAUUUGCUGGAAUAAGUACUGGGCUUUGUUUACAUGUUGUGCUAUUUGCUUCAGAGAUGCAGGGUCUCCCCUUCCUCUGGAAUUAGGAACAAGAUUUCAGUUGUGUCUUAUUCACAAAGCAGGCCAAAACAUAUCUCAGUUACUGACCAGGCUGUAAGAAUAACCUAAACUCCUUGUUGAAGACCAGACCUGUGAGUUCACCAAACACGUUAUGCCUGCCGUUUAUCUACCGAUGGGGGGCUGCUUCCUUACGUAGAACGAUCGAAUUUGUAGGCUUCCCUGUUACUUUCUUUUAGGAAGAUGCUAAUGUCCAUUUCCUCUCUUCUCAGAAGAGGUACCAGAACUGCGAUCCUAUAAACUCUCCUCUCAGUGGAAGCCCUGAGUUUCACAAUUUAGAUCAAAGUAAAUACCAAACCCGUUUCACCAGUUUCAAGGGCCACAGAGUUGGCCCAGGCGUAUUCCAGGCUCGGCUCCAGCUCCUUGUGUUGGUGUGAGGCCCUGUCUCCUUGGUGAUAGUCAUGUCAGAUCCACAUGUACUUUACAAGUCACACAUGUGUCAUCUCUGGGAUUCAGGACUGCACAGGUUUUAAAGUUACUCCUUGCUAAAAUGUUGUAAAAGCUAAGAACACCUAUGUUUGAAGUUCAUGUAUAACCACGUGAGUGUAUGUUUUCAGUCUUUUCUAUAAAAGGGAUCUUAAUGAUGCUUUAUAAGCGUGUGUAAAUAGACAAGCACGAGUGACGAUAGGAGAGUGUACAGGCUACCGAAGACUGCUGGCAAAAUGUUAGAAAUCCCAGUUCCUCACUGGAUUGUUUUUGCCUCAUUUUGUAAUGCAGGUGUCCACUGUGCUCCUGUUAGCUGGACACGUAGCAAAUCUCCUUUAACUUAGUAUCUACCAAGAGACAAUGUUAAAUUAAUAUUUGAUUGAGUUUGGUCUUGAAUUUGAGGAUUUCCUUUCAUCUAUUGAAGAGGUCAUGUGGCAGGGCGGUACCCUUUGAGCUGAGGAGCUAUUUCUUGUCUCCGGUUUGGUUUGUUUGGAUAUUUUUGGCAGUGGACACUUGCGUUUGUUUGCAUGUUUAUAAAGAGUCCUUUAUUUCACCCUGUGUGAACUUGACAUUUCACUUUUAAUAUAAAUAAUUUGCAAAUAAAGCAGUAGUCAUUUAACCCUCUGCCAACCAGAAUAGCUAAAUACAAAAACCAAAAGUCCAGAAGCUUCCAAAGGUGUCUGCUUUUGUUGGAAUGACAGCCUCCCUGCAGUGGUACAAAGCUAAAUAGGUCAAGGAAAUGGUAAAGGACAAUUGUGUUUUCAGUUCCCUGUUCGCUGCCUCACUUGUCCUUCACAAGAAUGGUAAUCAAGCCAUUUUGACAUCUUGGCUUUGUUAAGUGAAUGGAAUAAUAGAAGCCCAUGUGUUCCUGGUUCUGACCAAUACUUGGGCAUUGACUUCUGGUGUCUUUUCUCCCUCCCCUUCAGCACGCACAAAGAGGCUACCUGUGUGUGGUUGUGCAAAUAACGUAACCUUUUGGAGACUCUUUUUCAUCUGUGGAAUGUUGGUGGGCUUUCGCUCAUAGCAUUGUUACAAAAAUAAAACAAAUUGUGAACGUCCUGCCCUGUGUCUGGAAUACGAUCCAUGCCCAAUAAAUGUGUACAAAUCUCUAAGUUUUCCCCCAUUCUCAGGACUGACUUCAUGGACACACGACCUCUGGAGCCAAAUAGGGCCCCUGCUUACAAUAGCCCCUGCUCUUGGAUUUAUGCUCUGCUGCCAUUCAUUUGAAAUUCUUAGUACCUUUUGGACAGGAAGCCCACCCACAUUUCCAUUUUGCACUGGGUUCUACAGAUUAUGUAUCCAGUUUGCCUGUCCUUUUUGUUCUUCCUCCUCUUUUUCAAACUUGUUGGGUUUGCAGAACCAGAUGUUCCCUUGAUUGGCAGGGUUGGUAUGUUCGUCAGUUGCCCGCAAGGUGUUCUGGCAGUCACGGUGCUGCCCAUUGCUGAAAUCUGUUUUCCCAACCUUGACCUCGGCCUCACCUUUCUCCUGCACAGCGUUGUCACCAUGAUUCUGGUUGAGGCACAUGCACACAGGUCAGGGAGUAGCUCUGAACAAGAAAGCUUUUCCUAAGGGAUCUGCCCAUAACUUCUAGCUGACUCAGCACUGAAGUAGUAUCAAAAGGCCCCAUCAGAAUGUAAUUUGGUGCA